UGUAUCUGAAGUCUGACGAGGAUGAGAACCUCCGGGGGCAAGAGGUUCGACCCGAGCGAAGCGAGAAAACGUUGCGUCAGCAACGGCCCGCAGGGCGAGCCACGCAGUGGCGAGUCAUCCUCUAUCACCGACCA
rnacentral:sRNA from 16 species